rnacentral:rRNA from 1 species
CCUACGGGAGGCAGCAGUGAGGAAUAUUGGUCAAUGGACGAGAGUCUGAACCAGCCAAGUAGCGUGAAGGAUGACUGCCCUAUGGGUUGUAAACUUCUUUUAUAUGGGAAUAAAACGUUCCACGUGUGGGAUUUUGUAUGUACCAUAUGAAUAAGGAUCGGCUAACUCCAUGCCAGCAGCCGCGGUAAUACGGAGGAUCCGAGCGUUAUCCGGAUUUAUUGGGUUUAAAGGGAGCGUAGGUGGAUUGUUAAGUCAGUUGUGAAAGUUUGCGGCUCAACCGUAAAAUUGCAGUUGAAACUGGCAGUCUUGAGUACAGUAGAGGUGGGCGGAAUUCGUGGUGUAGCGGUGAAAUGCUUAGAUAUCACGAAGAACUCCGAUUGCGAAGGCAGUUCACUGGACUGCAACUGACACUGAGGCUCGAAAGUGUGGGUAUCAAACAGGAUUAGAUACCCUUGUAGUC